UCUUAUUGUUUGCCCCUUUAUUAAUAGAAGAGAUGACUGUGCAAGCCAGUAAGAUUCGUGUAGGCCUAUAUUAGAAAUGCUUAAUAGUAAAGUAAGUUAAUUUAAAACUUGGUGCUAAUAAUUUUACACUUGUGUAGUUUUCCUAAAAUUGUAUGCAUCCUCUGCUAUCAAUCCAGCAAGAUUUCAAAUGUUGUGAGAUUUGUAUGAUUCAACUCAGCACUUAGCAGACUGCUUUGCUCAAGAUGCCUUAGAUGUUCACCCAAAAUUGGAAAAGUUUCAGUGAGAAAAGGGCCAUCUGAAUCAUCUACCCAGAAUUCUUAUAAUCUUUUACUUGCAUCCCUUACCAUGCUGAGCUUGGUCAGGGUAGCAGAUGAAGCAAAGGGAGAAGGUUGGAUGUAAAGACUGGAUGAAGAACUGCAGAGUGAGAAAGCAAUGAGAAGAGAUGCCUCUUUGUUGAAAGACUACAUUUUUCCAUUGGACUGACUUUGCAUCUUUGCUGAAUAUCAAUUACCUAUAUAUUGUAUCUGACUAUGGGCAUCCAUUACAUUCUGCUUGUCUGUUCCCAGAAGAAUGGAUACCUUGUAUGCAUAUGUCUUCAAUUUUCUGGAACUACAUAAAACAUUACAAUGGAUAUCCUUGUAGAUAUACCUUUGUGAAACUCUGAGAGGAUUUCUCUCAUUGUGGAGCCAUUGGGCCAGAGUUUAUACACAUAUUCAAUUUCAUUAUAUACUGAGCAACCAUUUCCCAGUAAAACUAGAACAAUUUAUUUUCCAACCAGUUGUGCAACUGCAGUCCUAGUUCUUUGCAUUCUUGACAAUGCUUGGUAUUAUUAUUAUUUUUUUCAGUUCUAUAGGUGUAGAAGUAUACAUUUUUUAAAUUUGCAUUUUUCAAAUUACUAGUAAAUUUGAGCAAUUCAUUUACAUGUAAAUUACAUGGGUUUCCCCUUUUUGUGACUUGUCUUUUAAUUUUUUGGUCAAUUUUUCUAUCAGUUUGCUAUUUAUUUCCAGUUUAUUUGUGGAGGCUCCCAUAUUGUAGAUUAAUGUUAUUCAAAGAAUCUUCUGCAGUGAUGGAAAUGUUUUAUAUCUGUGCCAUAUGAUAUAAUAAUACUAGUGAUGUAUGACCGUUGUGCACUUGGAAUAUGGCUGGUGGCACCAAGGAAGUGAAUUUUUAAUUUAAUUUAAUUUUUUAAAGAAGUAUUUAAUUUUAAAUUUAAUUUAAUUUUAUGUAAUUUCCACAAAUUAGUCACUUGUGGUUGGUAUCUAGUGUGCUGAAGAGUGCAGCACCUGUUGCUCCCUUGGCAAUGUUGACUACUUCCGUUAGCUUAUUU